AGCUAGAUACAGAGUGUAGAUUGGUGCAUUUACUAACCCUGAGCUAGACACAGGGUGCUGAUUGGUGUGUUUACAAACCUUGAGCUAGAUACAGAGUGCUGAUUGGUGUAUUUACAAUCAAUAAAUGCUAGACAUAAAGGUUCUCCAAAUCCCCACCAGACUCAGGAGCCCAGCUGGCCUCAGCCAGUGGAUCCCGCACCAGGACCGCAGAUAAGAAGUGACUUUCGCCCUCUGCCAUGAUUGUGAGACCUCCUCAGCCACGUGGAACUGGCAUCUGUAUACCAGCCAUCACUUCAGCAUCCCAGACAGGACAAGAAGGAAGGUGAGA